rnacentral:rRNA from 1 species
AUUGAACGCUGGCGGCAGGCCUAACACGUGCAAGUCGAACGGUAACAGGAAGCAGCUUGCUGCUUCGCUGACGAGUGGCGGACGGGUGAGUAAUGUCUGGGAAACUGCCUGAUGGAGGGGGAUAACUACUGGAAACGGUAGCUAAUACCGCAUAACGUCGCAAGCCCAAAGAGGGGGACCUUAGGGCCUCUUGCCAUCGGCUGUGCCCAGAUGGGAUUAGCUAGUAGGUGGGGUAACGGCUCACCUAGGCGACGAUCCCUAGCUGGUCUGAGAGGAUGACCAGCCACACUGGAACUGAGACACGGUCCAGACUCCUACGGGAGGCAGCAGUGGGGAAUAUUGCACAAUGGGCGCAAGCCUGAUGCAGCCAUGCCGCGUGUAUGAAGAAGGCCUUCGGGUUGUAAAGUACUUUCAGCGGGGAGGAAGGGAGUAAAGUUAAUACCUUUGCUCAUUGACGUUACCCGCAGAAGAAGUACCGGCUAACUCCGUG